ACAUGGUGGUCUCUCGAAAAAGAGCCUGACACAAAAAUGGAAAAAGAGAACGCGUUUUAUCUUUUUCCGGUAAAUACCUCUUAACGCGUUGAUACACUGAAUACUCCAUAUAUAUGCUAGCUCUCACGGGGCCGUCUUUACUAACCCUAGAAAAUCGAUUUGUCUAUCUCCAAAUCCGAAUCGCUCCGACGUCUUUGAUGUUCAGAUCUUCCGGUGUUCCUGUCGCAGAUGACUUUCGCCCUUCUCUACAACGACCCUUCAUACCCCCCUUUCUCAAAUUACAAUAAAGAAAUCAAAUAAUUCAUUGUUUUUCUACUUGGAGGUUUUUUAGUGUGACAAAGGCGAGUCAUCUGUGACAGGAUAAUGGAAGAUCUAGUUAUCAAAGGCUUAUUGGGGCGUUUUCUUCCAUGAUCUCCAACACUUGUAGAGUAUUCUCCAAAGUACUACAGAUCUUUGAUAGUUGUCAUGCAAUUAUAUAUAGUAUCUGAAAAGGGAUGAAUGGAGAAGGAAAUCAAUUUAGACAAUUCUAUAUUUCUAUUAGCAAGGGAAAUGAUGAAUGAUUGAUGAAAAGGCGUCUUAAUUUAGUGGUUGUUGAAGUGUUGUGGACACUGAGGUACCCUCCUAGGAUGCCAGAUUUGCUCACUGUUUCACUGGGACUGGGAUUAUGCUUACCAUUGAUAACUUAAUCAAUAGACAAAAGUUCUUGCAAAGCAUUGUGCACAUGAACCUCCAUGGUUUGAUUCAUUGUCAACCAUUUUGUGAUAAGACAAGACUAAGGGUGUGUUUGGUACGAAGGAAAAUAUAUUUCGGAAAAUGUUUUUCAAUUUUCCCAUGUUUGGUUGGCUUAAUUGUAUUCCCUAUCAAAAGAAGGGAAAACAUUUUCAGAACUCUUUUUCAACUUUCUCCACCAUAUUCCCCAUCCCACCAACCCACCCCACCCCCAAACCACCCCUACCCUACACCCCACCCACUCCACCCACCCCAACCUCUCCCACCUCCCACCCUAAAUAGAGCUUAUAAAGAGUAGUUUCUUUUCAUAUUGUAGAUAGAGUAUUUUUUUCACUCACCUACCAAGCAAGGAAAAAUAAGUGAUAAAACUACUCAUUUUUUCAAGAAAAUACUUUCUAAGAAAACAUUUUCCAUGGAAAACAUUUUCCUUCUUGCCAAACACACCCUAAAAGUCUUGCCUUCCGUUCCCUUUUUUUUCAGGAGUCAAUGCAUCCUUUAUAGCUGCUGCUAGCAACAUAUCAAAUUAUCUAUCUCAUGUUGGUUGAGUAUGAGGUUAAUUAUCAAUCAUUUGGUUCAUGUUUAGCUGUGGUGAUGGCGGAAAUUUCAGAAAAUUGUGGGCAAGAGCUUGACAUUUCUCUCCUGUACUAUUGUUAUUACAUCCUGGGCAUGUUAGCAUUUCUCUGAAGGUCCAGGUUUUUCUUCAUCUGUGGUGUGUGAUAUAUCAUAUCCUAUUUGUAUAAGAUAGCCAGUGAAGCCUUUAGUCAUAAUGUUCCCCAGGAGUAUUUUCUUUCGACUGACGAAGACUGAUUGAAAAUUAGCUAGUUAGGCGGGUCAAAUUAGCUUAGACCGUCAAGGUUUUGUUAGUUUGCUAGUUUUGUAGUUCUUAAAAGAAUAUCUACACAUCUGCUCUUAUAUUGUGUUAAAUCAAGUUUUUGACAGUCAAAGAUAUGAUGUUACCUUGUCUAACCAAAUCCUCGACUGCCAGAUACUUUUUUUGUUCGAGUUUGGUGCCACUAGUCAGUUUAUUGUUCUCAGACAAGAACACAAUUGCAAUGAUAUCAUUAUAAUAUUACAACAGGUCUCUAUAUCAAGUGUACAACUCUGAGUUUUAAAAUGAAGUUUUGGAGCUAAACGGCUUGUGUAGAUGCGCAAUAACAAACUAAGAACUGAGAGUUUUGUUCAGCAUCUAAAUAACCAACUGCUUCUAGACUAUUAACCUUUCUAUAUGCCAACACAUUGUCUUUAGUGUUUCUAAAGAUAUCUUAUGAUUCUCUUGGUUGCGACUUGCAACCCAAUGAUCAUGACUAGGAUUAAGUACCUGUCGAGGAAAUUUACUGUGUAAGUUAAGAUAUUCAUCUAAGCAUAUAUCAAAUUGUUCACAGCACUGGCAUAAGGAACAUAUUUCAUAGGUUCUCUUCAUUUUAUUUUUGAGGCACUUCUUCGCCCUAUGAUUUGUCUCCUUUGACCAUUGGUACAUCUUCAACCUUGCAGCAUAGUUUUUGGAAAAUUCUCGCACAUAAGACUUCUGAGAUAACCUAAAAAUAAUGCAAUAUCUAUUAUCCUCAGAACAUGAUCUAUUACAAUGAAUCUCGAUGCUUUACUACUGGCAAGCAGAACAUUAUCCACAUGAAGUAUGAGAACAAUGGAUCUUCUCCCAGUAAUCAAACAUUUUAUAUAUCAAUUACUUGUCCUGACAAAACGUAGUGCAUCAAUCCAUCAAAUUACUCAUUUGUUCAGUAGUUUCUGAAUUAAUCAAGUUUCUGAAUCUCUACUCAGAAACAUGUAGUUUCCAUGUAAAUUAUUAGUUACAGCUUACAAACUAUGUAGUCGCUCUAGUACGAUGACCAAAAACCUUGAUACCGUCCCUGUCAUGAACUUAACUUAAUCGAUUCUCCAGCAACUUAUAGAGUUAAUCCAUAUAUAAGGGUCAACUAUUCAUUCACGAAUUCAUCCAAUAAUCACCAAUUUAAUGCAUUCAAAAAUUUGAUACCCAUAUCAUGGAUCAAUCCUCCAAUUGACGAAUUUCACAAUUCUAUAACGCCCAUUGCAUUACCCAUUGAAUUUCCAUUACACCCUACGCUAUCCAUCUAAUUUUAUGGCGCGUAUUGCAUAAGCCAUCCAGUUGGACUUUGGAAAUCCAAAAUCCCCAAUCCUAUACAUGGGUUAAACCCUAACUCAUCAAUAACUCUACUAUGAUGACAAUUAAUUAUGAUUUCCAUUUUAUACUAGUCUUAGGUUAAUUAGACGUUACAUUUGCAAGUCAAAAAUUUUAAAGUGAGAAGUAUCUGGGAUGCCCUUUAUAUGUGCUGUUGGAACUGCUAGUCCAUCAGUUGGCAGCUAUGUAGCCACGCAAAGGAACUUUGAAGCUAAUGGAAAAACUGAUAGCCAGAUUCUUUUGGACUGGUGGAGAUUCAACAGGUAGAUAUCAUUCGGCUUCUUGGAAGAAGUUGUGCUUUCAAUAUAAGAAAGGAGGAGCCAACUUCAAGUGGUUAAAAGAUAUUUACUAUGCAUUUAUAGCCAAGCAACGGUGGAAUGUGAGGACAAAAGAUUCAUUGUGGAAAGAAUACAUGUAUUGCUCCAGGUCACACCUUGUGAGGAGAAUGCUACAAGGGGCACAUUCUCGAAGUUGCAGGGCAAUGUGUAAGAUGACGAAAGAGUUAGAGAAAGGCAUUAGAUGGCUAUUUGGAGAUGGUAGAGCUAAUUUCUGGUAUGACAAUUGGUCAGGAGAGGGGGCCUUGGUGGGGCUACUAGAGGAAGGGGCUAAACUUAGCGGUCUGGCGUUGUUAUAAAGCAGGGAACGUGAUGUCUGAAACAGAAGCAACUUUGCAAUAACCAAGAGCAAGACAUAUUGAAGAACCGAGUUCCAGAAAUUAAUUCAAGUCUAGUUCGUUUUGUCUUGAUGUUGUCAUAGAUGUUUUGAGUUGUAAUCUUAUUUAGCUUGGACUCAAUUUAAUUUGUAAGAACACUUGAGUGACAAUCUUUUGUCCUA